rnacentral:rRNA from 1 species
CCUACGGGAGGCCGCAGUGAGGAAUAUUGGUCAAUGGACGAGAGUCUGAACCAGCCAAGUAGCGUGAAGGAUGACUGCCCUAUGGGUUGUAAACUUCUUUUAUAAAGGAAUAAAACGAGGCACGUGUGCCUUUUUGCAUGUACUUUAUGAAUAAGGAUCGGCUAACUCCGUGCCAGCAGCCGCGGUAAUACGGAGGAUCCGAGCGUUAUCCGGAUUUAUUGGGUUUAAAGGGAGCGUAGAUGGUUUGUUAAGUCAGUUGUGAAAGUUUGCGGCUCAACCGUAAAAUUGCAAUUGAUACUGGCAGGCUUGAGUACAGUGGAGGUAGGCGGAAUGCGGGGUGUAGCGGUGAAAUGCAGAGAUAUCACGAAGAACCCCGAUUGCGAAGGCAGCUUACUAAACUGUGACUGACAUUGAGGCACGAAAGCGUGGGUAUCAAACAGGAUUAGAUACCCGUGUAGUC